GGGACGGUGGCCAAGUGGUUAAGGCGCGCCGCUCGUAUGUAGACCGUUCAAUGCUUCGUUUCUUGAUACGUACUUCGUAUAUACGGCGAGAUCGCCGGUUCGACUCCGGCUCGUCCCA
rnacentral:tRNA from 1 species